UACGUAGGGCGCGAGCGUUGUCCGGAAUUACUGGGCGUAAAGCGUGCGCAGGCGGUUUUGUAAGUCUGGCGUGAAAUCCCCGGGCUCAACCUGGGAAUUGCGAUGGAGACUGCAAGGCUAGAAUCUGGCAGAGGGGGGUAGAAUUCCACGUGUAGCAGUGAAAUGCGUAGAGAUGUGGAGGAACACCGAUGGCGAAGGCAGCCCCCUGGGUCAAGAUUGACGCUCAUGCACGAAAGCGUGGGGAGCAAACAGG
rnacentral:rRNA from 1 species